rnacentral:rRNA from 1 species
GAUGAACGCUGGCGGCGUGCCUAAUACAUGCAAGUCGAGCGAACAGACGAGGAGCUUGCUCCUCUGACGUUAGCGGCGGACGGGUGAGUAACACGUGGAUAACCUACCUAUAAGACUGGGAUAACUUCGGGAAGCCGGAGCUAAUACCGGAUAAUAUAUUGAACAGCAUGGUUCAAUAGUGAAAGACGGUUUUGCUGUCACUUAUAGAUGGAUCCGCGCCGCAUUAGCUAGUUGGUAAGGUAACGGCUUACCAAGGCGACGAUGCGUAGCCGACCUGAGAGGGUGAACGGCCACACUGGAACUGAGACACGGUCCAGACUCCUACGGGAGGCAGCAGUAGGGAAUCUUCCGCAAUGGGCGAAAGCCUGACGGAGCAACGCCGCGUGAGUGAUGAAGGUCUUCGGAUCGUAAAACUCUGUUAUUAGGGAAGAACAAAUGUGUAAGUAACUAUGCACGUCUUGACGGUACCUAAUCAGAAAGCCACGGCUAACUACGUG